rnacentral:rRNA from 1 species
GUUUAAUUCGAUGAUACGCGAAGAACCUUACCAGGUCUUGACAUCCCCGCAAUGCUCUGGAGACAGAGCGGAGGUAGUCCGGGGAGACAGGUGGUGCAUGGUUGUCGUCAGCUCGUGUCGUGAGAUGUUGGGUUAAGUCCCGCAACGAGCGCAACCCUUAUUGCUAGUUACCAUCAUUGAGUUGGGGACUCUAGCGAGACUGCCAGCGAUAAGCUGGAGGAAGGUGGGGAUGACGUCAAAUCAUCAUGCCCCUUAUGACCUGGGCUACAAACGUGAUACAAUGGCUGGGACAAAGGGAGGCGAAGGGGUGACCUGGAGCGAAACCCAAAAAUACAGUCUCAGUUCGGAUUGAAGUCUGCAACUCGACUUCAUGAAGUCGGAAUCGCUAGUAAUCGCGGAUCAGAACGCCGCGGUGAAUACGUUCUCGGGGUUU